rnacentral:tRNA from 1 species
UGGGGCGUCGCCAAGCGGUAAGGCAACGGGUUUUGGUCCCGCUAUUCGGAGGUUCGAAUCCUUCCGUCCCAA